rnacentral:rRNA from 1 species
AUGGCGCCGGAGUCGGGCUCCGGCUCCUCCGCCCCCCUCCUCCGCGCCGGAUCCGGCCACCGCCGCGCCACCGGCGGCUGGAGGUCGGCCCUGUUCAUAAUCUGGGUGGAGGUGGCGGAGCGGUUCGCGUACUACGGCAUCUCCUCCAACCUCAUCAGCUACCUGACCGGCCCGCUCGGGGAGCGCACGGCCGCCGCCGCCGCGGCCGUCAACGCGUGGUCGGGCGCCGCGUCGAUGCUGCCGCUGCUCGGCGCCGCCGUCGCCGACUCGUGGCUCGGCCGGUACCGCACCAUCGUCGCCUCCUCCGUGCUCUACAUCACGGGCCUGGGCAUGCUGACGCUCUCGUCCAUGUUCCCGUCGCCCAAGAGCCAGCACUGCAACGUCUCCGGCGACGGCCGGCGAGAAUGCCCGCCUUCCUCCCUGCAGACGGCCUUCUUCUACGUCUCGCUCUACCUGGUGGCCAUCGCGCAGAGCGGCCACAAGCCCUGCGUGCAGGCCUUCGGCGCCGACCAGUUCGACGUGACGGACCCCGGCGAGUCGUCGUCGCGAGGCUCCUUCUUCAACUGGUGGUACUUCGGGGUCUGCGGGAGCGCCACCGUGACCGUCGCCAUCAUGAGCUACGUCCAGGACAACGUCAGCUGGGGCCUUGGCUUCGGCGUGCCGUGCGUGAUCAUGCUGCUCGCGCUCCUCGUCUUCCUGCUCGGCACCAGGACGUACCGGUUCUACGACUCCGGUGGCGGCGAGGGCGACAGCGCGUUCUCGCGCGUCGGCAAGGCCAUGAAGGCAUGGCGCAAGAGGUCGCCAGAGGGUGACUGCGCAGAGGACGCCGUGCUCAUGGAGGAGGUGCGGGGCCUGGCGAGGCUGUUCCCGAUAUGGGCGACGUGUCUGCUCUACGGCGUGGUGUUCGCGCAGCCGCCGACGCUGUUCACGAAGCAGGCGGCGACGCUCGACCGGAGGAUCGGGUCGUCGUCGUUGGAGGUGCCGCCCGCGGCGGUCCAGUGCUUCUUGGGCGUCAGCGUCAUCACGUGCAUCGUGCUGUACGACCGCGUCCUGGUGCCCGUGGCGCGCAGGAUCACCGGCGUGGCCUCGGGCAUCACCAUGCUCCAGCGGAUCGGCACGGGCAUGGCCCUCGCCCUCUCCGCGCUCGUGGCCGCCGCGCUGGUGGAGAUGAGGCGGCUCGGCGCGGCCAGGGACGCCGGCGUGGUCGAUCAGCCCGGCGAGGUGGUGCCCAUGAGCCUGUGGUGGAUCGUGCCGCAGUACGUGCUCCUGGGCGCGGCGGACGUGUUCGCCAUGGUCGGCAUGCAGGAGUUCUUCUACGACCAGAUGCCCGUGGAGCUCAAGAGCCUCGGGCUCGCGCUCUACCUGAGCGUCCUCGGAGUCGGCAGCUUCAUCAGCAGCUUCCUCAUCUCGGUCAUCGACGGGUUGACGAGGAGGGACGGCGGGACGAGCUGGUUCGCCGACAAUCUCAACAGGGGCCAUCUUGAUUACUUCUACCUGCUCCUCGCUGCUCUCAGCGCGCUGGAGCUUCUUGCUUUCCUCUACUUCUCGGCGAAUUACAUUUACAAGAGAAAGCUUGUCAAUGUUCACUGA